AUGAUUCAGUUGUGGGUGCUUGAAAGGGAAGAACCAGUUUUUGUCCCGUGCCUGGAGACUGUGAGUGCAGAAACUCAGUACUUCGGCUCAGGUACCCGGCUGACCGUGCUUGAGGACCUGAAACAGGUGACCAUACCCAAGGUCACUCUGUUUGAGCCAUCAGAAGCAGAGAUCGCCAACACCCAGAAGGCCACGCUCGUGUGCCUGGCCACAGGCUUCUACCCCGACCACGUGGAGCUGAGCUGGUGGGUGAACGGGAAGGAGGUGCACAGCGGGGUCAGCACAGACCCUCAGCCCUUCAAGGAGCAGCCUGGCGUCAAUGGCUCCAAAUACUGCCUGAGCAGUCGCCUGCGGGUGUCGGCUGCCUUCUGGCACAACCCCCGCAACUACUUCCACUGCCAAGUCCAGUUCUACGGGCUCACAGAGGAGGACGAGUGGAAAUACAAUGGAGACAAACCCAUUACCCAGAACAUCAGUGCCGGGGUCUGGGGCAAAGCAGAUUGUGGCUUCACCUCAGCAUCCUAUCAACAGGGAGUCCUCUCUGCUACUGUCCUCUAUGAAAUCCUGCUGGGGAAGGCCACCGUCUACGCUGUGCUGGUCAGCGCCCUUGUGCUGAUGGCCAUGGUCAAGAAAAAGAAUCCCUGACGCCAGCUGCAAGAGUGUUCCUGCGUCAUCCUUCAUCCUCAUCCUCUCCUGCACCUGUUUCUAAUAUGUGUUCAUGAUGAGUUAUUCCUCUGUGCCUCUCCCCUCCUAUCUUUCCUUUUGGCUGCCUCACAGAUUUAGCUCCCAACUCUGAAUACGAAAUGGAAUAAAUUAAUACAAAUGGUG